ensembl:lncRNA
GUUGAAUAGUUGAAUGUCUUGUCUUCGUUUUAAAGUUUGAAUGGUGGCUCUAUGUCAAUGUAUGUGGAAGUAGUAAGAGUUUAAAAAUGAGUAAGUUGAAUGAGGAUUUGAAGGGUCUCCCCAUUGAAAUACAUUAUAAAUUUUUGUUGAAAAAGGUUGAAUAAAAUUAAAAAUAUAAAUGUUAAAAAUGAGAAAAAUAGAAGCAGUGUUGUCCAAAAGAAUAGGAAUCUAACGGUGUUUGAAUGGUUUUUCUAAGUUGAACGGUUUUGAAGGAGUGAGAUGCCAAAAAACGUACGGAAUAUAUAAUAAUAACUAGAAAGUGCAUUUUCUGAAGAAACUGCAGUGUGAAUGCUUGAAUCUGAAUGUAUGCACUGAAAUGAAUUAAUUGCUGAAUUUUGAGUUAAAAAUAUUGAAUGAGAUUUUAAAAAAACAAAAAAAAAAAAAUGAAUUUAACCUGAAAACAAAAGUGCUGAACUGCUAAAAGCUGAAGGUUACACAGAAGAAGGAGUUGGAAAAAAACUGAAAAUGUUUUAAAUGUAAAUUAGAAAACCCUAAGAAAUGAGAAAAGAACAUUUAGAGUCAGAAAACAUCUGAAUGAAUAUUAAAAGGUCAUAUUCUUUGAAUCACUGAAUGACUCAAAUGUGAUCCCUCCACUUUGAUCCACACAGUUUAAAAAGUUUAAAUGCCUGAGCUUUGAAAGAUACGGUGUUGGAAAGAGAACAAUAAUGGCGACAAUUUGAGGGUAAAAUGAUGGCUGUAACACUGUGGACACAGCAGCAGUUGAAAGAGAAGUGCUUAAGAUGAAUCUUGGCAGAGUGAGAGAGAGAGCUCGUUAAGCAGGCAGGUGUGAGCCUGGUUGCUAUAGUGACCGCACCCAGUGGCUCCAUACACACGUACACAGACAUGCGCCUCACUUUUGCUGCUUAAAAUGAACAGAAAAGUCAGGCCGAAACAAAUCGUUCCCAAAUGAAAAGUAAAAGUCGUAUUGACAAAAUUCUUUCACCGUGAGCGACAGCAGCUUCUAGUCUACUGAAUUCUCAGUUUUCAUGCCUGUGGAGUUUAUUAUAUGGACGUGGUGACAGUGGAAAGACACCAUGCUCUUCUGAUUUUCAAACGAACCUUCUGAGACAUUUUAACAUUAGAGUCUAUGGAAGAGUUGGAGGG